CGCGGGGUGGAGCAGCUUGGUAGCUCGUCGGGCUCAUAACCCGAAGGCCAGAGGUUCAAAUCCUCUCCCCGCUACCA
rnacentral:tRNA from 1 species